rnacentral:rRNA from 1 species
UACGGAGGAUGCGAGCGUUAUCCGGAUUUAUUGGGUUUAAAGGGUGCGUAGGCGGGCAUUUAAGCCGGCGGUCAAAUGUCGGGGCUCAACCCCGUCGUGCCGUUGAAACUGGCGUUCUUGAGUGAGCGAGAAGUAUGCGGAAUGCGUGGUGUAGCGGUGAAAUGCAUAGAUAUCACGCAGAACCCCGAUUGCGAAGGCAGCAUACCGGCGCUCAACUGACGUUGAGGCUCGAAAGCGUGGGGAGCAAACAGG